rnacentral:rRNA from 1 species
GGAGUUAGCCGAUGCUUAUUCUCAGGUACCGUCAUUUUAUUCCUCCCUGAGAAAAGAGGUUUACAAUCCAAGAACCUUCCUCCCUCACGCGGUAUUGCUCCGUCAGGCUUUCGCCCAUUGCGGAAAAUUCCCC